rnacentral:rRNA from 1 species
CUGAAGCAACAAAUGCCCUGCUUCCAGGAAAAGCCUCUAAGCAUCAGGUAACAUCAAAUCGUACCCCAAACCGACACAGGUGGUCAGGUAGAGAAUACCAAGGCGCUUGAGAGAACUCGGGUGAAGGAACUAGGCAAAAUGGUGCCGUAACUUCGGGAGAAGGCACGCUGAUAUGUAGGUGAAGUCCCUCGCGGAUGGAGCUGAAAUCAGUCGAAGAUACCAGCUGGCUGCAACUGUUUAUUAAAAACACAGCACUGUGCAAACACGAAAGUGGACGUAUACGGUGUGACGCCUGCCCGGUGCCGGAAGGUUAAUUGAUGGGGUUAGCGCAAGCGAAGCUCUUGAUCGAAGCCCCGGUAAACGGCGGCCGUAACUAUAACGGUCCUAAGGUAGCGAAAUUCCUUGUCGGGUAAGUUCCGACCUGCACGAAUGGCGUAAUGAUGGCCAGGCUGUCUCCACCCGAGACUCAGUGAAAUUGAACUCGCUGUGAAGAUGCAGUGUACCCGCGGCAAGACGGAAAGACCCCGUGAACCUUUACUAUAGCUUGACACUGAACAUUGAGCCUUGAUGUGUAGGAUAGGUGGGAGGCUUUGAAGUGUGGACGCCAGUCUGCAUGGAGCCGACCUUGAAAUACCACCCUUUAAUGUUUGAUGUUCUAACGUUGACCCGUAAUCCGGGUUGCGGACAGUGUCUGGUGGGUAGUUUGACUGGGGCGGUCUCCUCCUAAAGAGUAACGGAGGAGCACGAAGGUUGGCUAAUCCUGGUCGGACAUCAGGAGGUUAGUGCAAUGGCAUAAGCCAGCUUGACUGCGAGCGUGACGGCGCGAGCAGGUGCGAAAGCAGGUCAUAGUGAUCCGGUGGUUCUGAAUGGAAGGGCCAUCGCUCAACGGAUAAAAGGUACUCCGGGGAUAACAGGCUGAUACCGCCCAAGAGUUCAUAUCGACGGCGGUGUUUGGCACCUCGAUGUCGGCUCAUCACAUCCUGGGGCUGAAGUAGGUCCCAAGGGUAUGGCUGUUCGCCAUUUAAAGUGGUACGCGAGCUGGGUUUAGAACGUCGUGAGACAGUUCGGUCCCUAUCUGCCGUGGGCGCUGGAGAACUGAGGGGGGCUGCUCCUAGUACGAGAGGACCGGAGUGGACGCAUCACUGGUGUUCGGGUUGUCAUGCCAAUGGCACUGCCCGGUAGCUAAAUGCGGAAGAGAUAAGUGCUGAAAGCAUCUAAGCACGAAACUUGCCCCGAGAUGAGUUCUCCCUGACUCCUUGAGAGUCCUGAAGGAACGUUGAAGACGACGACGUUGAUAGGCCGGGUGUGUAAGCGCAGCGAUGCGUUGAGCUAACCGGUACUAAUGAACCGUGAGG